AAACUGCGAAUGGCUCAUUAUAUAAGUUAUCGUUUAUUUGAUAGUACCUUACUACUUGGAUAACCGUGGUAAUUCUAGAGCUAAUACAUGCUAAAAAUCCCGACUUCGGAAGGGAUGUAUUUAUUAGAUUAAAAACCAAUGCCCUUCGGGGCUCCUUGGUGAUUCAUGAUAACUUCGCGAAUCGCAUGGCCUUGCGCCGGCGAUGGUUCAUUCAAAUUUCUUCCCUAUCAACUUUCGAUGUUUGGGUAUUGGCCAAACAUGGUUGCAACGGGUAACGGAGGGUUAGGGCUCGACCCCGGAGAAGGAGCCUGAGAAACGGCUACUACAUCCAAGGAAGGCAGCAGGCGCGCAAAUUACCCAAUCCCGACACGGGGAGGUAGUGACAAUAAAUACUGAUACAGGGCUCUUUAGGGUCUUGUAAUUGG
rnacentral:rRNA from 1 species